AUACUCCGGUUUCUCUUCAAAUCGUAUAAAUCUUUCGCCUUUUACUAAAGAUUUCCGUGGAGAGGAACAGUCACGAGUUUCAACCAAUUUUUUGAGGCUUCACUUCGGUGAGGCU
ensembl:snRNA U5 U5 spliceosomal RNA